UACGUAGGCAGCGAGCGUUGUUCGGAGUUACUGGGCGUAAAGGGUGUGUAGGCGGUUUUCUAAGUUUGGUGUGAAAUCUCCCGGCUCAACCGGGAGGGUGCGCCGAAAACUGGGAGACUAGAGUGCGGGAUGGGAGAGUAGAAUUCCUGGUGUAGCGGUGAAAUGCGUAGAUAUCAGGAGGAAUACCGGUGGUGUAGGCGGCUCUCUGGACCGCCACUGACGCUGAGACACGAAAGCGUGGGUAGCAAACAGG
rnacentral:rRNA from 1 species